AACUAAAAAAAGACCGAAUACGAUUCCUAUAUUCGGUCCAGGGAAAUGGCUCUCAAGGAGCCGUGCGCUAAAAGUUGGCAUUUAUGAAGGCGGUGUCGCCUUGCAAUUUAAGGUUAGAACAGCGCGGUGGAAAUGCCAGCAA
rfam:Pantoea vagans C9-1, complete genome.